rnacentral:pre_miRNA from 1 species
AUAGUACUCCCUCCGUCCGAAAAUCCCUUGAAAUGGUUGUAUCUAGACUUAUUUUAGUUAUAGAUACAUUCAUUUUAUCCAUUUUGAGCACAAGUAUUUCCGGACGGAGGCAGUAUACU